GCAACCUCCUCCUCUACGCCUGUCGCUGUGGCCCCUCCCUUCAAAGGCAUAACCUCUCCUAAUCCCCCUCCCCCGGUUUCCAUGGAGACGGCUCAGACAAGCAGGUGACGCAUUGACAGGGAGCAGAUGGUUGCCCGUGGAGGCACCUUGUUAUCUGUCCUUUGUCAGUAAGGCCAUCUUGUGGGAUCGAGGACUCUACCACUACACAGACCACACUGUCCGUGAUGGACGUCCUUCUCUGUGUCCUCGUUUCCUGGUUCACAUGAAGGCCUGUCCUGCAGACCUCAGAACCCCACAUCUCCUAUCCAAUAACCCCAGGCCACGUCCUCCUCGCCAGGAAUUGACACAACAAAGACACGCCCUUGGCGGCCUGAAGACGCAUUCAUGUGCAGACUCCAGGAGCCUGCAGCACUGCAGCACCACCAGAGGGAGGCGCUUAGCUGUUGUUGUUCCCUGUGUACCAGUGCCAGUCUCCCCCUCUCCCAGCAGAGCCUCCCCUGAGCUCUCAGUCUGUCCAAGUCCAACAUCCUCUACUGUCACUGACUCUGGGCAGCAGGGGACUGGAUACAACCCUGCUCCAUCAUCAGCCCUACCUCAUGGCCAUACUCAGAAAGGAGAGAAGGAAACAGAGGAUGGUGUUAAAGAGAUGGAUGAAGGCACUUCGGCUUCCUCAGGGGCCUUCCGCCCUCCAAGGCCAGACCAGGAGCCCAAUUCUGGUCCUGAGGACAUAGACCCCUCAGUUUCUCCAAUCCCUAGUGUCUGUGAGGGUUCUCUCUCAGACUUUAGCCGCCCACCAUCCAGCCAGUUCAGCCGAAGCACAGACCUGGGUAGUGGCCGGAGCAGUCCUCUAUGUGGUAUUGUACCUACGCUGCUUUGAAACAAUUGAAGUGAAAUGUAUUGAAAGCUGUUGCAUUCCCCAUGGGCUAUUAGUUGUUUCAUAAAUGUAGAAA
rnacentral:lncRNA from 1 species